GCCAUCAUUUAAAGAAAGCGUAAUAGCUCACUGGUCGAGUCGGCCUGCGCGGAAGAUGUAACGGGGCUAAACCAUGCACCGAAGCUGCGGCAGCGACACGUUUGUGUUGUUGGGUAGGGGAGCGUUCUGUAAGCCGUUGAAGGUGGCCUGUGAGGGCCGCUGGAGGUAUCAGAAGUGCGAAUGCUGACAUAAGUAACGAUAAAGCGGGUGAAAAACCCGCUCGCCGGAAGACCAAGGGUUCCUGUCCAACGUUAAUCGGGGCAGGGUGAGUCGACCCCUAAGGCGAGGCCGAAAGGCGUAGUCGAUGGGAAACAGGUUAAUAUUCCUGUACUCGGUGUUACUGCGAAGGGGGGACGGAGAAGGCUAGGCCAGCCGGGCGACGGUUUGUCCCGGUUUAAGCGUGUAGGUGGGGCGUCUUGGUAAAUCCGGACGGCCAAUAACACUGAGGCGUGAUGACGAGGCACUACGGUGCUGAAGUGGUUGAUGCCCUGCUUCCAGGAAAAGCCUCUAAGCUCCAGGUAACAUUGAAUCGUACCCCAAACCGACACAGGUGGUCAGGUAGAGAAUACUCAGGCGCUUGAGAGAACUCGGGUGAAGGAACUAGGCAAAAUGGUGCCGUAACUUCGGGAGAAGGCACGCUGGCGUCAGGUGAAGGGACUUGCUCCCGGAGCCGAGGCCAGUCGCAGAUACCAGCUGGCUGCAACUGUUUAAUAAAAACACAGCACUGUGCAAACACGAAAGUGGACGUAUACGGUGUGACGCCUGCCCGGUGCUGGAAGGUUAAUUGAUGGGGUUAGCGGCAACGCGACGCUCUUGAUCGAAGCCCCAGUAAACGGCGGC
rnacentral:rRNA from 1 species